UAGGAUAGAGGCCUACCAUGGUGGUAACGGGUAACGGGGUGUUAGGGCACGACACCGGAGAGGGAGCCUGAGAAACGGCUACCACAUCCAAGGAUGGCAGCAGGCGCGCAAAUUACCCAAUCCCGACACGGGGAGGUAGUGACAAUAAAUAACAAUACGGGGUUCUUUAGGAUCUCGUAAUUGGAAUGAGUACAAUUUAAAUCUCUUAACGAGGAACAAUUGGAGGGCAAGUCUGGUGCCAGCAGCCGCGGUAAUUCCAGCUCCAAUAGCGUAUAUUAAAGUUGUUGCAGUUAAAAAGCUCGUAGUUGAAUUUCGGGGUUAGUAGGUUGGUCAUGCCUCUGGUAUGUACUGGUCUCACUGAUUCCUCCUUUCUUAUGAACCGUAAUGCCAUUAAUUUGGUGUUGCGGGGAAUUUGGACUGUUACUUUGAAAAAAUUAGAGUGUUUAAAGCAAGCUAACGCUUGAAUACAUUAGCAUGGAAUAAUGAAAUAGGACGUUCGAUCUUAUUCUGUUGGUUUCUAGGAUUGACGUAAUGAUUAAUAGGGAUAGUUGGGGGCAUUAGUAUUCAAUUGUCAGAGGUGAAAUUCUUGGAUUUAUUGAAGACUAACUACUGCGAAAGCAUUUGCCAAGGAUGUUUUCAUUAAUCAAGAACGAAAGUUAGGGGAUCGAAGACGAUCAGAUACCGUCGUAGUCUUAACCAUAAACUAUGCCGACUAGGGAUCGGAUGA
rnacentral:rRNA from 1 species